rnacentral:sRNA from 1 species
CCCACCGAUGAAUCGGUGGGCUAUUAUCAACCGUCCCUGACGGGACG